AUGGAGGAAACGGCCAGCGGUGGUGCUGGUGCUUGUACGACCAGCACGCGGCAGCGAACGUCUCGGAGCCCUCGCCCCAGAGCGUCCCCGACUCCCGCAGCACCGUCCCCUAGUGCUCCUCCUCCACCUUCCUAUCCUUUCCCAGAGACAUGGAACGGGCCAGGACCUGCAACAUCGACGAGAUCUGCCGCAUUCUCACAAGCCAACAUCAGGAGCCCGCUCGAUCGGCUGAUUCUACAAAGAAGCUUCUUCCUCCCCUCUUCCAUGGCUGGCAGAAGAGACGCGAUGAGAGGAAUGGGAGGCAACGCCUCAUCCAGAUCCAGAUCGGGCAGGGGUGAGUGUCGGGGAGGGGGCGAGGCAGGCCGAGGGAGGGGCAACAGCGGAGCAGGGUGGCGGGGGGCUCCGGCGGGCGGCGAACCCUAG
rnacentral:rRNA from 1 species